rnacentral:rRNA from 1 species
UACAGAGGGUGCAAGCGUUAAUCGGAAUUACUGGGCGUAAAGCGUGCGUAGACGGUUAUGUAAGUCAGGUGUGAAAGCCCCGGGCUCAACCUGGGAAUGCCAUUUGAGACUGCAUAGCUAGGGUACGGAAGAGGGAAGCGGAAUUUCAGGUGUAGCGGUGAAAUGCGUAGAUAUCUGAAGGAACACCAGUGGCGAAAGCGGCUUCCUGGUCCAGUACCGACGUUCAGGCACGAAAGCUAGGGGAGCAAACAG